UAGGGAAUCUUCGGCAAUGGACGGAAGUCUGACCGAGCAACGCCGCGUGAGUGAAGAAGGUUUUCGGAUCGUAAAGCUCUGUUGUAAGAGAAGAACGAGUGUGAGAGUGGAAAGUUCACACUGUGACGGUAUCUUACCAGAAAGGGACGGCUAACUACGUGCCAGCAGCCGCGGCGUACAUACGUCCNNCCGGAGCGUUGUCCGGAUUUAUUGGGCGUAAAGCGAGCGCAGGCGGUUAGAUAAGUCUGAAGUUAAAGGCUGUGGCUUAACCAUAGUAGGCUUUGGAAACUGUUUAACUUGAGUGCAAGAGGGGAGAGUGGAAUUCCAUGUGUAGCGGUGAAAUGCGUAGAUAUAUGGAGGAACACCGGUGGCGAAAGCGGCUCUCUGGCUUGUAACUGACGCUGAGGCUCGAAAGCGUGGGGAGCAAACAGGAUUAGAUACCCUGGUAGUCCACGCUGUAAACGAUGAGUGCUAGGUGUUAGACCCUUUCCGGGGUUUAGUGCCGUAGCUAACGCAUUAAGCACUCCGCCUGGGGAGUACGACCGCAAGGUU
rnacentral:rRNA from 1 species